rnacentral:rRNA from 1 species
CAAUAGCGUAUAUUUAAGUUGCUGCAGUUAAAAAGCUCGUAGUUGGAUUUCGGGUGGGAAUGGCCGGUCCGCCGUUUCGGUGUGCACUUGCUACGCCCACCUUGCUGCCGGGGACGUGCUCUUGAGUUCACGCUCGGGACACGGAGACGGCGAGGUUACUUUGAGUAAAUUAGAGUGUUCAAAGCAGGCCUACGCUCUGAAUACAUUAGCAUGGAAUAACACGAUAGGACUCUGGCCUAUCUUGUUGGUCUGUAGGACCGGAGUAAUGAUUAAGAGGGACAGUCGGGGGCAUUCGUAUUUCAUUGUCAGAGGUGAAAUUCUUGGAUUUAUGAAAGACGAACUACUGCGAAAGCAUUUGCCAAGGAUGUUUUCAUUAA